ACCUGUAAGAUCUUUAGUAGUAAUUUGGACAAAUCAAACACGUUAAACUUAGGCGGUAAGAACGUAGCACAAUACGUAUUGUAUUACAAAGCGCAAGCGCAGGUAACAAGCUUUCAUAAGAAACAAUGCUAUUGAAAAUUGAAAGUCGGUAAAAUGCGUUUCCUACUUGGUUUCCCUCGCCCGAGAUUGUAAAACGAUAAGAAGUGUAAACAACGCGUCCUAGCCGCACUUGUGACGCAACAGGCUCCCGGCUCACCUGUAUAUAAAAACCGACUUCUUAAGAAAGACGCCAUUUUACUGUAGCCGCCAUGCACGAUAGUUUACGAUUACAUUAUUUUCGGACUAAAAUCAUAGUGCUUAGAUAAUUAAAAUUCAUCUUUGACAAAAUAAUUAUGAGUAUAAUUUUUAAAAUUCGAAUUUAAAGAUGUGUUUUAAAAAAAUAAGUGCGUCAGGCAAUGUGGAAGAUAUAUUGAUCGCGAUUUUUUUUAAUAGUCAUUUCAAGGCAACGGAAGCUGGUUGGACGGUCUAUAGAUAAUUAAGCGGUAUUCACGGCCUGUGAUUGGUCACAUGUAGCGUAACAGGGCGUCCACAAUGAUGAAAUAAUGAAUUGAACAUGUGAUUCAAGAUGGCGGACAUUUUCGGAAAAAAAAUUGUGGAAACUCCUGCGUUUUAUUUGGUUGCCGCUUCCAGACUUCCAGAAAUAAAGAAGAAAGAAGCAGAAAAAAGAAGAUAUAAGAAAUAAGAAGCAUAUAAUCUGUUAAUGAAGAGAGCUAUCCGUCGACAGUAUUGCCACUAAACACUGUCAUGGAGUUGCUCUCUUUAUGAACGGAUGCAAACUCAACGAUGCUGACGAAAAUAUAAGAAUAUAGAACGAAGAUAGAAGAACGGUUUAAUUUUGUUUUUUUUUUCUUUAUUUUAUUUAUUUGGUGCCUAAUAUUAUUUGUUAGUAAUUUAUACGCACUCGCCCUUGGUAAUGAUAAAAUAUUGUGUUGUAUAAUUCUACAUAAUAAUUGGUCGGUAGAAAUAGAUUCAUUUAACUAUACAUUUCUCUAUCAUACCUACAUAUUACUGUAAAGGGUACGGCUUUACUUCGUUAAAUAUCGUUAGAAUUAACGCCACGACGUGUUUACACAACCUUAGAACUUUACUAAAUAGUUUAAUCUAUUUCUACUUACGUCAUAAUCAUUUAUAGCGAGCGGAUAAACGCGCGUUUUCAAAAAUUCCCGUGUGCGUACGCCCUUAUUUGCAAAAUGUUUCUAGAAUUGUAAUAUCUCAUUUAACAGAACGUGUUGUAAAUGACGUGAUUUUUAUCUUGUUAUCACGUUACCCCAAUUCCAUGAUCUGAAGACAAUAAGCUUAGUAUGAUGCCUCAGUACACUGCCAUAACGUUAAAUUACUUAACAAGUCAAACAGCGCUGUGUACACUGCAUUCUUCGUGUUAUCAGUGAUAAGGCGACAUGAGAUCCGACGGCCUGUGAUAACGAUACGGAGGGUAAAUAUUGAUAACGGGUCACCUGUUUAGAGUUAGAUUUCCUGUUAAUUGUACGAUAUAAGUUUAAUAACCGUGUUUUUUAUACCGACAAAUUUAAACAUUUUGUGUAGGCAGCGUAGAUCAAACUGUUCCGAUUGUGGACUUGGGAAGACGUUUACCUGGUUUUGUCGGAGUGGGCACUUAGUGAAUCUCAUACCUUAGGUAUCAACUAUCAAUGUUGGGAAUCAUAGUGUUUUGUCGACUCCUGCGUUAAGCUGGCUAGGGUGUUGUUGAACAUAUGUUUUAAGAGUAUGAGGGGACGAGUAGGCAGCAAUAAAAGCGGACGUAUGGGGCGACAUAGUCGGCAACAUGCGACUAAAAAAUAUUUUGUUAAAGUGCGUAUUUUGGCGUAAAUCGAAAAGCGCGGUGGUUUUAGUCUGGCAAAUAUUUCAUCAUCUUUUGUUACAUAAUGAUUAAGAAACAACAUGUUGUAACGAAUUUAAGAAAUAUAUUAUUAAUAAAUAGAUUUAUAUUUAAAAUCGCAUUUAGAGCAAGGAAUUGUAAAGUUAUACAUAUUGAAAUGAUAUUUACCUGGUUGUAUUCAUGAUUUAUAACAUCAGUGUUAAUAUUUUACUUAAUUGCGUGCACUGUUUCUCCCGUUUUCUCAAAUUAAUAAAAAAAUAUUUUUAUUGUGAUUCUAAGCGUUAGUGACUAAGGGUUCACGUAAUCCGAUUCCUGCUCGCUUCAGUUUACUAGUACCUGUUUAUUAGUACCUAUAAGUUGUGUCUGGUUCCCUUUGAAAAAAUUCCACCCUUCACCAUUAGUAAGCGUGGUAAUGUAGUCAAUCGGCUGCCUGCCACGACACAAUGUUAUUUCAUUACAUUUGUACGUUUUUGUCUGAUUUCAGAUGCAGUUUCCACAGAUUUAUACGGCACAAGUUAUUAUUAAAUAAAUUUAAAACUUC